GAAUGGAACUUGUCCUACUGUUGGUCAACAGUAAACUCAACUGACUUUUCAUGGGGACGAUUGUCAUCUCUCAGGAAGCCAGAAAGCUACCCUUCCCUUCUCUAACUUCAUUCUGCCAGAAUUGAUAAGUGGCAUGAGUCUGUCGGCAGGUGCCGUGUACCUUGUGGGAGCGUAACACUCCAGCGCACCCUUUGGAGGCAGUACAGAUGGAACAGACUCCCCUCCCCAUGGAAGAUGGAGGAAAAUUGAUGGUCCAGUUUCUGUGCAUCCUUCAGUCUCCAUUCUUUAUCAGUUGCUUGGCCGCCAUUGUACUUCUGAUGCAGCUGCUAUCUUCAGACCUCCUGGACUGCCCAAGAAAGGGAGUGGGAGCUAAUGCUCCAGAUGGGCGGAACAGCAACAAGAUGAACUGAAGGUGGCCAAAAAUAACAGUGCCUUCCAGAUGAGGUGACCUCAGAGCCAAGAGCAUCAUGGGGUAGAGUAUCUUGUUCCUAGUUUUAUGACCUAAAAAGUACACAGAAGAUCCAAAGAUACUACAGAGAGAAGGAAUAAAGUCUGCAGAGAACAAGGAAAUGGGAUUAGU
rnacentral:lncRNA from 1 species